CCCACGCUCCACGGGAUCCUCGAAGCUGUUCAGGCCACUUCCACCGCUGCCUCUGAAGUCGUCGUGGUGUCAUGGUGGUCGUCGACAUCGCCACCAUAGGCGUCUUGCAGGCUGAUGCUGCGGCAGAGCACACUCUAGUCCUUUGGGUCGCCCCUUGGCAGGGGUGUGUCCUCGCUCUCCUCUGCAGCAUUUCCCGGCACGAGACCCAAUGGAUCAGCCCAGUCCUGCGGGCCAAGCUCGGGUCAGUCCCCACCGGGAACAGAUCUGGGCACUUGUCCGUCAGGGCCAUGGGGAAGGCCAUGAGGAGCCUGUUUCCUCGCGUCCUUGACUGUCUUCCGGAAGCGAGUGUAGGCCAGAACGACGGCAGCAAUGGGCAAAGAGGAGAGUUUCUUCAGUCUGGCGCAGCUUGUGAGGGUCAGUGUCGGUGGCCAGGCGAGCCCGCAGCUCCUACAGAGUUCGCUGCUGCCAGUCUGGCUCCAUCUCCUUUGCUGUGAACCCCUCCCCCGUUCUGAGGGGGUUCUGGGGGUGCGCGUGGGCGCCGCGGGGGGAGCUGAGUGGACUGGGGCCACGCAGUUCGUCCUUGGUGGCAGCUGGCACUGGCUAGCACUGGCACUGGGUCGGGUCUAGCAGGUCCUCCUCCCUCAGGGCUGGGCGGCUCUGCUUCUGGUCUUGGGGGCGGGACGUUCUCUCAGCCUGCUGGCGAGCAAGAAGACAGUCUGGCCUGGGACUCUGAGCAGGGACUCAGCAGGCCAUUAAAUAGGUGCCUAGGGUCGAAGCCACGCCCACACGGACCCCGGCAGCCAUUCCUGGCCCCGCCUUCGCCCCGCCCUUGGGAGACUGCCUUCCAGACCCACCUGAACCACCAGUAACCUCACCGACCUAAGACCACAAAGGUGAGGAGACCGGACUGCUGUGCCUGAAGAAGAAGGGCUGCCACAUGUCUCUCUGAGUCUGUGAGAGGAAUGUCAUUUCUGGAGUUCCCCCUGAGAAGAGGAAAGAAGAUAUAUCUCUGGAAGAAGAAGAAUUCUCAGUAAUGGGAGUUUCCACCCUUGUCUCAUUUUAACCCACCUCCUCUAUCAAUCUUUUCAAGUCCCUGAUCUCCAUGAAGGUAGAUUUGAGACAUAAAAUUCUG